rnacentral:rRNA from 2 species
UUGGGGGGGACGGGGGGGUUACAAGUGGGUAACAUGCCCUAAAGGGGGGGGUAACAUUUGGAAACAGAUGGUAAUACCGCAUAAAACCUAGCACCACCUGGUGCAAGGGUGAAAGAUGGUUUCGGGUAUCACUUUUGGAUGGACCCGCGGUGCAUUAAUUAGUUGGUGAGGUAAAGGCUCACCAAGACCGUGAUGCAUAGCCGACCUGAGAGGGUAAUCGGCCACACUGGGACUGAGACACGGCCCAGACUCCUACGGGAGGCAGCAGUAGGGAAUUUUCCACAAUGGACGAAAGUUUGAUGGAGCAACGCCGCGUGAGUGAAGAAGGUUUUCGGAUCGUAAAACUCUGUUGUUGGAGAAGAACGUAUUUGAUAGUAACUGAUCAGGUAGUGACGGUAUCCAACCAGAAAGCCACGGCUAACUACGUGCCAGCAGCCGCGGUAAUACGUAGGUGGCAAGCGUUGUCCGGAUUUAUUGGGCGUAAAGCGAGCGCAGGCGGUUUCUUAAGUCUGAUGUGAAAGCCUUCGGCUCAACCGAAGAAGUGCAUC